rnacentral:rRNA from 1 species
AGGUAAUGGCUCACCAAGGCGACGAUCCGUAGCUGGUCUGAGAGGAUGAUCAGCCACAUCGGGACUGAGACACGGCCCGAACUCCUACGGGAGGCAGCAGUGGGGAAUAUUGGACAAUGGGCGAAAGCCUGAUCCAGCCAUGCCGCGUGUGUGAAGAAGGCUUUCGGGUUGUAAAGCACUUUCAGUGAGGAAGAACGCCUUGGGGCUAAUACCCCCGAGGGAAGACAUCACUCACAGAAGAAGCACCGGCUAACUCCGUGCCAGCAGCCGCGGUAAUACGGAGGGUGCAAGCGUUAAUCGGAAUUACUGGGCGUAAAGCGCGCGUAGGCGGCGUGAUAAGCCGGUUGUGAAAGCCCCGGGCUCAACCUGGGAACGGCAUCCGGAACUGUCAGGCUAGAGUGCAGGAGAGGAAGGUAGAAUUCCCGGUGUAGCGGUGAAAUGCGUAGAGAUCGGGAGGAAUACCAGUGGCGAAGGCGGCCUUCU